GAUGAACGCUAGCGAUAGGCUUAACACACGCAAGUCGAGGGGCAGCACAAGGUAGCUUGCUAUCUGGGUGGCGACCGGCGCACGGGUGCGUAACGCGUAUGCAACUUGCCCUAUACAGGAGGAUAACCCGUCGAAAGACGGACUAAUACUGCGUAUGCUCACAACUUGGCAUCAAGUGGUGAGGAAAGAAAUUCGGUAUAGGAUAGGCAUGCGUCCCAUUAGCUUGUUGGUGAGGUAACGGCUCACCAAGGCAACGAUGGGUAGGGGAACUGAGAGGUUUAACAGCAACACUGGAACUGAGAGACGGUCGAGACUACUACGGGAGGAAGCAGUGGGGAAUAUUGGACAAGGGGAGCAAGACGGAUCAAGACAUAACGCGUGGGUGAAGAAGGACAUCGGGUUGUAAAGACAUUUUGGUGGGAAAGAAAAGAAGAAGGUUAAUACCCCGCUGUGCUGAAGGUACCAAAAGAAUAAGCACCGGCUAACUUCGUG
rnacentral:rRNA from 1 species